rnacentral:tRNA from 1 species
CAAAAUUUAACAUAUAUAAAUGUGUCUCACUUACAUUGAGAAAAUAAUUAAAUGCUAAUUAAUUUUGA